rnacentral:rRNA from 2 species
GGUGUGACUGCGUACCUUUUGUAUAAUGGGUCAGCGACUUAUAUUCUGUAGCAAGGUUAACCGUAUAGGGGAGCCGCAGGGAAACCGAGUCUUAACUGGGCGUUAAGUUGCAGGGUAUAGACCCGAAACCCGGUGAUCUAGCCAUGGGCAGGUUGAAGGUUGGGUAACACUAACUGGAGGACCGAACCGACUAAUGUUGAAAAAUUAGCGGAUGACUUGUGGCUGGGGGUGAAAGGCCAAUCAAACCGGGAGAUAGCUGGUUCUCCCCGAAAGCUAUUUAGGUAGCGCCUCGUGAACUCAUCUUCGGGGGUAGAGCACUGUUUCGGCUAGGGGGUCAUCCCGACUUACCAACCCGAUGCAAACUACGAAUACCGAAGAAUGUUAUCACGGGAGACACACGGCGGGUGCUAACGUCCGUCGUGAAGAGGGAAACAACCCAGACCGCCAGCUAAGGUCCCAAAGUCAUGGUUAAGUGGGAAACGAUGUGGGAAGGCACAGACAGCCAGGAUGUUGGCUUAGAAGCAGCCAUCAUUUAAAGAAAGCGUAAUAGCUCACUGGUCGAGUCGGCCUGCGCGGAAGAUGUAACGGGGCUAAACCAUGCACCGAAGCUGCGGCAGCGACACUAUGUGUUGUUGGGUAGGGGAGCGUUCUGUAAGCCUGCGAAGGUGACCUGUGAGGGUUGCUGGAGGUAUCAGAAGUGCGAAUGCUGACAUAAGUAACGAUAAAGCGGGUGAAAAGCCCGCUCGCCGGAAGACCAAGGGUUCCUGUCCAACGUUAAUCGGGGCAGGGUGAGUCGACCCCUAAGGCGAGGCCGAAAGGCGUAGUCGAUGGGAAACAGGUUAAUAUUCCUGUACUUGGUGUUACUGCGAAGGGGGGACGGAGAAGGCUAUGUUAGCCGGGCGACGGUUGUCCCGGUUUAAGCAUGUAGGCUGGUUAUCCAGGCAAAUCCGGAUAAUCAAGGCUGAGGUGUGAUGACGAGGCACUACGGUGCUGAAGUAACAAAUGCCCUGCUUCCAGGAAAAGCCUCUAAGCAUCAGGUAACAUCAAAUCGUACCCCAAACCGACACAGGUGGUCAGGUAGAGAAUACCAAGGCGCUUGAGAGAACUCGGGUGAAGGAACUAGGCAAAAUGGUGCCGUAACUUCGGGAGAAGGCACGCUGGUGUGUAGGUGAAGUCCCUGCGGAUGGAGCUGAGACCAGUCGAAGAUACCAGCUGGCUGCAACUGUUUAUUAAAAACACAGCACUGUGCAAACACGAAAGUGGACGUAUACGGUGUGACGCCUGCCCGGUGCCGGAAGGUUAAUUGAUGGGGUUAUCCGUAAGGAGAAGCUCUUGAUCGAAGCCCCGGUAAACGGCGGCCGUAACUAUAACGGUCCUAAGGUAGCGAAAUUCCUUGUCGGGUAAGUUCCGACCUGCACGAAUGGCGUAAUGAUGGCCAGGCUGUCUCCACCCGAGACUCAGUGAAAUUGAACUCGCUGUGAAGAUGCAGUGUACCCGCGGCAAGACGGAAAGACCCCGUGAACCUUUACUAUAGCUUGACACUGAACAUUGAGCCUUGAUGUGUAGGAUAGGUGGGAGGCUUUGAAGCGUGGACGCCAGUCUGCGUGGAGCCAACCUUGAAAUACCACCCUUUAAUGUUUGAUGUUCUAACGUUGGCCCCU